GCUGCUCAGGCUUGGGAAGCUCUGCCUGAGAGCAGAAACCUGUUAGACUUCUGGGUUUGGGCCUUACAGAGCUGAUAUUGUUAGGUCAAGGCAACAUGGCUUGCUCUGUGUCCCUAGCCUGCCCUUGAGUCCUGGGUGAAGGGGACAGUGGAUUCUUUGGAGCACUCCAGGUACUGUGAGGUAAGCUCAGAGGUCUGAGGAGUGCUUUGGAUACUCUGGAGC